ACACUCAUGUUUCUCUUCAUAUCGUAUACAUUUUUCGCCUUUUACUAAAGAGUUCCGUGGAAAAAAGCACAAAGAGUAUAAACUAAUUUUUGAUGUCAUGCUUAAUUACGGGGCU
rnacentral:snRNA from 1 species